AAAAUCCAAGAGAACUUACUAAUCUUCUUGAGCAAAUAUCUGGAUCUGAAGAGUUUAAGAGACGGUAUGAAGAAUUGGAAGAAGAAAAGGCAAGAGCUGAGGAGAAGAAAGCAUUGGCUUACCAGAAAAAGAAAACUGUAAAUAUGGAGCGGAAGCAGAAAAAGGAACAGAAAGAGGAAGCUGAGAAGCAUCUUCGGUUACAAGAACAACUG
rnacentral:lncRNA from 1 species